rnacentral:tRNA from 1 species
UAGACUGAUGCUCGCCGGAUAGGGCGCUUAGCUGUUAACUAAGUUUUUGCAGGAUCGAGGCCUGUCAUUCUAG